rnacentral:lncRNA from 1 species
UGGACGUGCGAACGAGAGAAGGAACCAAGGGAACCAAAACCCUAAACAACCUAAAAUCAUCAAAUUGAAAGGGGGAUCGAGGGCUGAUUGAAUGCAUGAGUCUAGAUACCCUUUAAUCUAAGUGUAUUGAUCAUAAGGAACGUGUCAAGGAGAGCUCAAGCAUAGGAGGAUAACGGGUCAAGAUAAGGCAAGGUGACAAAUACACUUAUUGGAAUACUCAAGGUGAUGAAUGUCGGACUUUCGAAGUGUUGAUAUAAUAAUGAAACGGUUGAAUGUUGAAAGGAUAAUCGGACUGAAGUAACUUAUGCGGUAAAUCCUCAAUUUUGGCGACUUGGAGAAUCGGAGCGAGCGCGUGUUCGUGUUAUGCGAUACCAAACGCUUCCGCUAGUUUGUUCAAAUGUUUUUGACCCAAAAUUUGUUGUAUUGGUUUUUAGUAGUAUCUUGUUGAACGAAUUGUAGAAUUGUAUCUAGUUUGUUUAUGUUUAAAACAGGGGUAUGCUCGUUUUAUGGACGGGUCAUGCCCGAUUUUUUGUUAAAUUAUAGUUUGAUAAUAUCACAUUUAGGAAGGUGAAAUUUUGGGCGUAACAUCUUCAGAAACGAAAAUGAACUAACGGAGUCAUUUUCAACGGUUGCUUCAUCAGAGUUGGAAAUGAAGGUUUACACAACGGAUAUUCAUUUCCUCAACGGGUAAAUCUUCAGAAACGAAAAUGAACUAACGGAGUCAUUUUCAACGGUUGCUUCCUCAGAGUUGGAAAUGAAGGAUUACACAACGGAUAUUCAUUUCCUCAACGGAUAAUCUUCAGAAACGAAAAUGAACUAACGGAGUCAUCUUCAACGGUUGCUUCCUCAGAGUUGGAAAUGAAGGAUUACACAACGGAUAUUCAUUUCCUCAACGGAUAAAUCUUCAGAAACGAAAAUGAGCUAACGGAGUCAUCUUCAACGGUUGCUUCCUCAGAGUUGGAAAUGAAGGAUUACACAACGGAUAUUCAUUUCCUCAACGGAUAAUCUUCAGAAACGAAAAUGAACAAACGGGGUCAUCUUCAACGGGUAUUCUUCAGAUUUGGAAAUGAAGGAUAAACGGAUAUUCAUUUCCUCAACGGAUAAAUCUUCAGAACGAAAAUGAACAAACGGAGUCAUUUUCCUCAACGAGUAUUCUUCAGAUUUGGAAAUGAAGGAUAAACGGAUAUUCAUUUCCUCAACGGAUAUUCUUCAGAAGUGAAAAAUGAAUAGCUAGUUCAUUUUUCCUCAACGGAUGCUUCAUCAGAAUUGGAAAUGAAUAGGGUUAACUCUAGACACAUGACAGAACUUGCUGUGAUUUCUGUGCACUAAAUUCCAUAAUUAUGUAUGCAUCCAUAAUUACGUAAUCCCUUGCACAGUCCGCACAGUUUGUUUUGUAAUGUUUUGGGGAAGGAUAUCAAACUUGUGACGAGGGUGACUAG